rnacentral:rRNA from 1 species
AAAUUGAAGAGUUUGAUCAUGGCUCAGAUUGAACGCUGGCGGCAGGCUUAACACAUGCAAGUCGAACGGUAACAGGAAGAAGCUUGCUUCUUUGCUGACGAGUGGCGGACGGGUGAGUAAUGUCUGGGAAACUGCCUGAUGGAGGGAGAUAACUACUGGAAACGGUAGCUAAUACCGCAUAACGUCGCAAGACCAAAGAGGGGGACCUUCGGGCCUCUUGCCAUCGGAUGUGCCCAGAUGGGAUUAGCUUGUUGGUGGGGUAACGGCUCACCAAGGCGACGAUCCCUAGCUGGUCUGAGAGGAUGACCAG